rnacentral:tRNA from 1 species
GGGGACGUGGCUCAGGGGGAGAGCGCUUGACUCACAUUCAAGAGGUCGGAGGUUCAAAUCCUCUCGUCCCCACCA